CACGUAGGGCGCGAGCGUUGUCCGGAAUUAUUGGGCGUAAAGAGCUCGUAGGCGGCCUGUUGCGUCCGCUGUGAAAGCCCGGGGCUUAACCCCGGGUCGGCAGUGGAUACGGGCAGGCUAGAGGUAGGUAGGGGAGAAUGGAAUUCCUGGUGUAGCGGUGAAAUGCGCAGAUAUCAGGAGGAACACCGGUGGCGAAGGCGGGUCUCUGGGCCGAUACUGACGCUGAGGAGCGAAAGCGUGGGGAGCGAACAGG
rnacentral:rRNA from 1 species